rnacentral:rRNA from 1 species
CCUACGGGAGGCAGCAGUGGGGGAUAUUGCACAAUGGGGGGAACCCUGAUGCAGCGACGCCGCGUGUGGGAAGACGGUCCUCUGGAUUGUAAACCACUGUCCCCAGGGACGAAGAUGACGGUACCUGGGGAGGAAGCUCCGGCUAACUACGUGCCAGCAGCCGCGGUACUACGUAGGGAGCGAGCGUUGUCCGGAAUUACGGGGUGUAAAGGGAGCGUAGGCGGGACUGCAAGUUGGGUGUCAAAUCUACCGGCUCAACCGGUAGCCGCACUCAAAACUGCAGUUCUUGAGUGAAGUAGAGGCAGGCGGAAUUCCUAGUGUAGCGGUGAAAUGCGUAGAUAUUAGGAGGAACAUCAGUGGCGAAGGCGGCCUGCUGGGCUUUUACUGACGCUGAGGCUCGAAAGUGUGGGGAGCAAACAGGAUUAGAUACCCGUGUAGUC